rnacentral:rRNA from 1 species
UCGGGAAUUUUGGGCAAUGGGGGAAACCCUGACCCAGCAACGCCGCGUGAAGGAUGAAGUAUUUCGGUAUGUAAACUUCGAAAGAAUAGGAAGAAUAAAUGACGGUACUAUUUAUGAGGUCCGGCUAACUACGUGCCAGCAGCCGCGGUAAUACGUAGGGACCAAGCGUUGUUCGGAUUUACUGGGCGUAAAGGGCGCGUAGGCGGCAUGACAAGUCACUUGUGAAAUCUCUGGGCUUAACCCAGAACGGCCAAGUGAUACUGUCGCGCUAGAGUGCAGAAGGGGCAAUCGGAAUUCUUGGUGUAGCGGUGAAAUGCGUAGAUAUCAAGAGGAACACCUGAGGUGAAGACGGGUUGCUGGGCUGACACUGACGC